rnacentral:rRNA from 1 species
AAGGAUCAUUAUCGUACAAUGGAGGUGCUGGGGCUGUCGCUGACCUUUGAAAAAGGUUGUGCACGCCCGGAGCACUCUCUCAUAUCCAUCUCACCCCUUUGUGCAUUGCCGCGUGGGUCCCCUUUUGGCUUGUUCCGAGGGGGACCUGCGUUUUUACAUAGACACCCUUUGAAUGCAUGUGUAGAAUGUCUUACUUUUUGCGAUCACACGCAAUCAAUACAACUUUCAACAACGGAUCUCUUGGCUCUCGCAUCGAUGAAGAACGCAGCGAAAUGCGAUACGUAAUGUGAAUUGCAGAAUUCAGUGAAUCAUCGAAUCUUUGAACGCACCUUGCGCCCCUUGGUAUUCCGAGGGGCACACCCGUUUGAGUGUCGUGUAUACUCUCAACCUUCUUGGUUUCUUUGACCAGGAAGGCUUGGACUUUGGAGGUUUUUCUUGCUGGCCUCUUUCGAAGCCAGCUCCUCCUAAAUGAAUGGGUGGGGUCCGCUUUGCUGAUCCUCGACGUGAUAAGCAUUUCUUCUACGUCUCAGUGUCAGCUCGGAACCCGCUUUCAACCGUCUUUGGACAAAGACAAUGUUCGAGUUGUGACUCGACCUUACAAACCUUGA